rnacentral:lncRNA from 10 species
AUUGGCCAGGCUGGUCUCGAACUCCUGACGUUAUGAUCCUCCUGCCUCAGCACAAAUAACUGGCUUUUUUAUUUCUCAAGACUUAGAAGUCCUUGAAGAACAAAAGGAUGCUGGAAAUAUAAAAGAUGGUUCUCCCUUAAAACUAAAAAGGAUUCAUAAGACAAAAGAUAAAGAGAGACAUAAAAUUGGAGAAGAGGUUAUAUUGAGAGUACUAUCAAAGAGAAGCCAUGCCACAAAUAGUUUUAAGCAAGAAAAUAAAGUCUGCCAACAACCACGAGCAUGAGCUUGGAAGCAGAUCCUCCAUCCUGGUCAAGUCUUCAGAGACUACACAUCCGGGCCAAUUGUGUGACUGCAGCCUCACAAGAAACCCUGAUCCAGAGCCACUCAGCUAAGCUGCUCCCAAAUUCCUGACUCUCAGAAACUGAGAUAAUAAAUGCUUGUUGUCUUCAA